rnacentral:rRNA from 1 species
UACGAAGGGGGCUAGAGUUGUUCGGAAUCACUGGGCGUAAAGGGCGCGUAGGCGGCCGAUCAAGUCGGGGGUGAAAGCCUGUGGCUUAACCACAGAAUGGCCUUCGAUACUGUUUGGCUUGAGACCGGAAGAGGUUAGUGGAACUGCGAGUGUAGAGGUGAAGUUCGUAGAUAUUCGCAAGAACACCAGUGGCGAAGGCGGCUGACUGGUCCGGUUCUGACGCUGAGGCGCGAAAGCGUGGGGAGCAAACAGG